rnacentral:rRNA from 1 species
GAUGAACGCUGGCGGCGUGCCUAAUACAUGCAAGUCGAGCGAACGGACGAGAAGCUUGCUUCUCUGAUGUUAGCGGCGGACGGGUGAGUAACACGUGGAUAACCUACCUAUAAGACUGGGAUAACUUCGGGAAACCGGAGCUAAUACCGGAUAAUAUUUUGAACCGCAUGGUUCAAAAGUGAAAGACGGUCUUGCUGUCACUUAUAGAUGGAUCCGCGCUGCAUUAGCUAGUUGGUAAGGUAACGGCUUACCAAGGCAACGAUGCAUAGCCGACCUGAGAGGGUGAUCGGCCACACUGGAAGUGAGACACGGUCCAGACUCCUACGGGAGGCAGCAGUAGGGAACCUUCCGCAAUGGGCGAAAGCCUGACGGAGCAACGCCGCGUGAGUGAUGAAGGUCUUCGGAUCGUAAAACUCUGUUAUUAGGGAAGAACAUAUGUGUAAGUAACUGUGCACAUCUUGACGGUACCUAAUCAGAAAGCCACGGCUAACUACGUG